GGGCCCGCACAAGCGGUGGAGCAUGUGGUUUAAUUCGAAGCAACGCGAAGAACCUUACCAGGUCUUGACAUCCUUUGACCACUCUAGAGAUAGAGCUUUCCCUUCGGGGACAAAGUGACAGGUGGUGCAUGGUUGUCGUCAGCUCGUGUCGUGAGAUGUUGGGUUAAGUCCCGCAACGAGCGCAACCCUUAAACUUAGUUGCCAGCAUUUAGUUGGGCACUCUAGGUUGACUGCCGGUGACAAACCGGAGGAAGGUGGGG
rnacentral:rRNA from 1 species